GAUGAACGCUAGCGGCAGGCCUAAUACAUGCAAGUCGAACGGUGUCUUCGGACAUAGUGGCGCACGGGUGCGUAACACGUAUGCAACCUACCUUACAUUGGGGGAUAGCCUUUCGAAAGGGAGAUUAAUACCGCAUAAGACAGUAGCUGGGCAUCCAGCAGCUGUUAAAGAUUUAUCGAUGUAAGCUGGGCAUGCGUCCAAUUAGCUAGUUGGUGAGGUAACGGCUCACCAAGGCAAUGAUUGGUAGGGGAACUGAGAGGUCAAUCCCCCACACUGGAACUGAGAUACGGGCCAGACGCCUACGGGAGGCAGCAGUAGGGAAUAUUGGGCAAUGGACGCAAGUCUGACCCAGCCAUGCCGCGUGCAGGAUGAAGGCGUUAUGCGUUGUAAACUGCUUUUAUACAGGAAGAAACGACUCUUGCGAGAGGCAUUGACGGUACUGUAUGAAUAAGCACUGGCUAACUCCGUGCCAGCAGCCGCCGUAACAC
rnacentral:rRNA from 1 species